GAAGAACAUGCCCUUGUUGUUCUCUUACUCUUUAAGACAUGGAAGAUUAAGGGAAAAGAUGAGGAAGUAGGAGACAAGAGAGAUACACACUGAUGUGAGGCUAUAGGUAUAGAUGGCUGAGAAAAUUCAGACCCAGGCUCACCGCUGGGCUCCCACAUUUGUCAUAGCAGCACAUUCAAAGGCAAAGUGGCGGGAAAUAAGCUAAGACAUCACCAGGAGACAUUUGAAUCCAGAAGGGAGUCGUGUCAUCGUGAAGUAAUGGACUCCUGUAGGAAAGAAUAAACUUGGUCAUCCGUAGAGUAACGACAAUCUUUCACAAAGCAUGCCAAUUAAAAACCACUACAUGCUA
rnacentral:lncRNA from 1 species